rnacentral:rRNA from 1 species
GACGAACGCUGGCGGCGUGCUUAACACAUGCAAGUCGAACGGAAAGGCCCCCAUCUUGGUGGGGGUGCUCGAGUGGCGAACGGGUGAGUAACACGUGGGUGAUCUUCCCUGUACUUCGGGAUAAGCUUGGGAAACUGGGUCUAAUACCGGAUAGGACCAUGGUUUAGUGUCUCAUGGUGGAAAGAUGAUUGUUUUGGUGCAGGAUGAGCUCGCGGCCUAUCAGCUUGUUGGUGGGGUAAUGGCCUACCAAGGCGUCGACGGGUAGCCGGCCUGAGAGGGGGGACGGCCACAUUGGGACUGAGAUACGGCCCAGACUCCUACGGGAGGCAGCAGUGGGGAAUAUUGGACAAUGGGCGCAAGCCUGAUGCAGCGACGCCGCGUGGGGGAUGACGGCCUUCGGGUUGUAAACUCCUUUCGUUAGGGACGAAGCCACGAUUGUUGGGUGUGGUGACGGUACCUUUGUUAAGAAGCACCGGCUAACUACGUG